UAUAUUCCCUAGUGUUGACAGUGGGUUACUUGCCAUUAAUUUUUAUAUCCCUUCAAAAUUUAUUUCUCCAUGUUUAAUGCCUCAAAUUGCAAGUAGGGGGUGAAAUUGCACUUUAAAAAAUUUGGGUCCAGAAUUUUAAAGGAAAGUAGUGAUUUGGUCCAGCUGAAAAAGGUUAAAAAUUAGCACUUCGGAAUCUGUCAAAAGAUUUCAAGACGCCC
rnacentral:lncRNA from 1 species